UGCAGCUGAAGCAGGAGCUGCUGAGAGCAAACAUGGACAAGGAGGAGCUGCACAACCAGAACGUUGAUCUUCAGAGGAAGCUGGAGGAGAGAAACCGGCUGCUGGCAGAGUACAAAAAGGAGCUGUGCCAGAAGGACCGGCACCUGCAGCAGCACCAGACCAA